rnacentral:lncRNA from 1 species
AAUAUAAAUCUUAGUGAAUUAACUCUUUAAAAUAAAAAGUCAUUUUACCUUUUAUUUUAGUAAGUCAAUUGUCUUAUUUCUAUAUGUAGAAUAAAAUUAAAGCGUAAGAUAAUCCAAGCUUUAUAUUAAUAAGAUAUAUUUACAUGUAAAUGAAUUGCGGUUUCUACGGGACAUAUCUUGGUUUACAUAAAACAAAUUAUUUAAACUGAAACACUGUCAAAUCGACAAAAAUUUUCUGAAAAUGUGUAGCCUUGAUACAUGUAGGUACACGUGUCACACGUAUUUCUCAUUUGUACGUGAUAACAAAUAUAAACAUAUAAAGUGGGACGGUUAAAUUGUGAUGGAUGAUUCGUAGUUG